rnacentral:lncRNA from 1 species
CCAUCCUUGCCCCCGAUGAAUUGUAUUAUCAUCGGCCACUUUAUUGCCUUCCCUCCAACACAAACUUAUUCGUGUUUUGAGUUAUACCUUGAGGUCCUUGCUAUACAGCAUUUGUUCUUCCUUACCUUGGAAUGUUACCACCUUUUAUGUCAAGAAUGUCGUGGUAAUUUUACCACCUCUUGAGAAUUCUUGAUAUAGUAAUAUCUCUCGCCUUUUGCGUUCAUCUCUUGGUCUCCGUAUUGUUUCUAACCGGAAUACCGACUAAUGGUCUGUGUUGUGCAAAUUCUAAACUUCUAGCAACCCUAUUGCUUGAAGUUAUUGGUCUACAGUUUCAUUCUAAGUCUAUUGAUUAUUGAAUCAUCAUUCAAACAUUGAUCGUGCUACCUAGUCCAGAUUCCUGGUUGCACCCUUCUAUCAUUGUUCAGUUGUGUAUGUUUCCCUCGAGCAUACAUCAUUAUGACAUUUGAUCCGACAAAUGAUAUUUCCUUGUUCACAUAAUUGUGGAAAUCAAUCCUUUGGAAAUCGCGAUGAAUUGUUGCUGAGCCUAUCAGCCACCUCCUCAUCCUCUCCUUGGUUUACUGAUGAACUCUUGUUUCGGAACUCGCUUCCAUAGUUCAUUUCCCGAGAAUCUUACAAUGUCAUCUCGUCAAAUUGUGCCGCACCUUUUCUUCUCAGGCAUCCUAAGUCUGAGGUAUCGUGACACCAAUCAGAUCUGAAUCUCGGUCAGAUUUGAUGGUUGGAACUUAUUUCCAAGAGUUAUAAUGUUGGUCUUUAUAUAUGACCCGGUAAGGUUAUGUCAGGCCUAGCACACCUGGCCGGAGGACCUAUUGUUGUAGUAUCCUUUUUAGCAAGUUUAGCCAUUCUUCUGUGAGGAAAUUGUAAGACUUAUUUCACAAGCUAUUCCUGAUGGAUCCUUUGUGUUUCCAAAAUCUGACCUUUGCUUGAAUACCAUGUCAAUGCUUCUUGAAGCAUGUUUGUGGUACUCCGAUUUUCAAUAAGAGCAUUGGAAGUGCAAUGCUAAGUUUUCUUUAACCAUUAUCCAAACACCGUUGUAUGGGUACUGUCAUGAAAUUUCUCUCCCCUUACUUAAAGGGUUUUCUACAUGAUAUCCUGCCACGGAUAUCAUGCUCUGCUUGUCCUUGGGAAGGAUAUACCCCUGAAAUUUGUGCUUAAACACAUUUUUCCUUUCCAUUGUUCUGUUUAACCUUCUUGAGGUUUAUAUGAUCUAAGCCGAAAUAUUCUCCUGCUUAUGUAAACACCUCGGUGUACAUUUCUGUCAGCAAGACCCUGUUACUAUUGUUGAUCACAUUCUGGUAACCCCCCGAUGGACGAGAACUUUGCCUAUUGGUCCGCCUCGUUCAACGAGCAGGAAAAUGGUUCUCUUCGUCCCUCACCCUUGGUACCGAUGUUGUUGCCGACAUAACCGAUAGGCUGAUCCACUAACAUGCCUUGCUAUCAUGACCAUGCAAGAUGUCAAAGCCCAUCCCUAUUUUAACCCACAUGGUGGGCCCAUAACCCACAGUUCCACAGGAUCGAAACCUGACUGUCCUGUACACCCCCUAUUUCCAAAGUUAUUUACUCGCACGUGGCCUCGUAUGUAAUUCCCGGGCCACCGUCCUAGCGAUCUAUUCUGGAAUCAGACACAAUACUUAUUCCCAUUGCUCUGAACCCCUUUCACACUAAGUUUCAGGCAAUGAACGAUUGCCUAUCCGCUCAAAACUUCUUAUUGCACUGUCCUACUUUGCUCUCGAUGUGUAUCAUUUGUUCAACUCGAGAGAUACUCAUAUGUUCGUUCUUGGGAUACCCCAGAUGAUUUUCCCUUAUAACAUCCUAUCGUGGUAGAGCUGCCCCUUACCUAUUCGUAAGUACGAUGGAGUUCCCCGAAGGAAGGACGACAACUUCAUCAUGAUGCAUUGGAAUAAAGAAUUGAAGACAUCAACGAAAGGGGUUAACUUCUUCGAGAAGAUCCGUUAGAAUAUCGUAACCAGAACUUUCCCCUUACUCCCCUCUUAAAUCUCGGGACGAGAUUUCUUGUAGUGGAGGAGAUUUGUGACGCCCGGGUAAUUAAGCUACAGUGAUCCUUUGCUAAUGAUGCCAUGUCACCACUAUUACUGUUACUAAUCUCACGUUGAUCCAAAUCCGGUUCCAAUUCAAAUUCAAAUAAUAAGUGAAAUUCUAAACUUCUCAAACAUGAAAACUAAAAUGAUCAUCAUGUGGCAAAUAAUCCCUAACUUAUUUUAGAUGUUGGAACCAACCUUUUCCAAAAUGUUUAAGUGCCUAAACAAUAUAAAAACAGGGGCUAAAACAUCUAUUAAAUAUUUUUAAAUAAUAAACAAAUGUAAAACUAAUUUAUUUAGUGCCAAAUUAGUUAUGAAAGUAGUCUAACUAAUAAUGCUAAUUUAGGGACUAAGUUGAUAUAUUAUAAAACUACAUAUAAAGUAAAUCUAAAAGAAACAGAAAAUAGAUAAACAGAAAUAAAAGAAAAAGAAAAUACAAAAGAGAAAACAAAGCAAAUCAAAAAAA